CUAGGCAGUGCCCUGUGAAAGUACCUGAGCCACUUGCUUUGUCUACCUCUUUGUCCUGUUUCCUUAACAGUCAUACCCAGAAGUGUUUUUAUCCCCCCAUAUUCUUCUGUCAAACUAGUUUUUAAAACUACACCUUUUCAUCCUUUCUCUGCUCCUUUCUCUUCUCUGUCACUCAUCUCCUCCCGCCACCCACAGCUUUCCUUUUUCCAGGGGGAGCUGUGGGGUCUCAUUGCCUUUGGUUGCUGUGGCUGGCACUGGCUUGGCUGUGCCUUUCAUCAGAUGGCUUCAGAGGUUCUCUCCUGCACCCUGCCCUAUCCCUGUGCUUUUGACACAUUCAGGGACAAAGUUGGAGUUCCCACCAACCCCACUGAAGGCUCUGCAAUGUACUGCAUCUCCCACUUAGAUGAAUGCUCAUCGUUUUGGCUGGUGAAUGGGAAGAUUUCAAAAUGAAGGGUGAGGGCCAUCCAUACCUGGGGAAUUCAGCUGGACCCCAGGAGCAGAGAGGACUGUGGCUGCAUACCUCCAGGCUGAGAAGGAAGCUCAACACAGAUUUUGCCUUUCCCAGUGAAGUCUUCUCUCACAGACUCGUGAGAUAGGGUUGUGUAUGUGAAGAAUUACGGACUUCCAUGGGUGCUGAGCACAGCUGGCUCCAGAAUUGUCAGAGAUCAGCACCAGUUUAGAUGUCAAAGGACAAAAGGCAAAGAACUGACAUCCAUCUUCAGAUUUCCAAAAAAUAUUUUGCAAGCAACUGGCCUUCUAGAUCCUGGUGGGUCCCAGCUUCCCAGGCUCUCUCCUCAGAUCCAGCUGCUUGCUUCUAGUAAGAAGAGGAAGGCGGAAUAUCAGUGAAAUACUCCCUGAAAUAACAAGAGGGAAAUAGAAGCUGCCUUCACAUCUUGACCCAAAAUAUUGAGGCUUCUUCUAGUUAAGGUGGUAUCUGCAUCUUUAAUGAGACUGUGACUCAGAGAGCAGGUGAUGGCUAUUUCUUUCUGUGUAUGGAACUAUAAUCCUUCUCAAUUAUCAAAGACAUAAAUUACUAUUAUUUCCUUACCCAAUUGAGCAUCUUCCCUAAAUAUGUGAAAGAAAAAUUGUG
ensembl:lncRNA